GUAGGUGGCAAGCGUCGUCCGGAAUUAUUGGGCGUAAAGCGCGCGCAGGCGGUUCUUUAAGUCUGAUGUGAAAGCCCACGGCUCAACCGUGGAGGGUCAUUGGAAACUGGAGAACUUGAGUACAGAAGAGGAAAGCGGAAUUCCACGUGUAGCGGUGAAAUGCGUAGAGAUGUGGAGGAACACCAGUGGCGAAGGCGGCUUUCUGGUCUGUAACUGACGCUGAGGCGCGAAAGCGUGGGGGAGCAAACAGGAUUAGAUACCCUGGUAGUCCACGCCGUAAACGAUGAGUGCUAAGUGUUAGGGGGUUUCCGCCCCUUAGUGCUGCAGCUAACGCAUUAAGCACUCCGCCUGGGAGUACGGCCGCAAGGCUG
rnacentral:rRNA from 1 species